AUAUUCGAAUAUGACUACAAUGAUAUUCAACAGUAGUCAUAUUCGAAAAAUACAUAAAUAUGACUAUAGUCAUGUUGCUGCUACUGUACAUAUUUGAACUGUAUUUUCAGAUUUGGAAAAAAAGAAAAAAGAAGGAGAAAUUGAAAAAUACAUAAAUAAAAAAAUUGAUAAAAAAUCAUUAUAUACAUAUAUAUCGACUCCACUAACUCAAGUAUGAUGAUAGGCUCCCUCUCUCUCUCUAAUAUUUAAACACACACAAUCACAAUGAAAAAACCUUAAAUGCCAAAAGUAAUCAUGAGUUGCUGAGAAACUUCCAAGAACACGAAAACAGAAAGUAGCAAAAAAAAUCGAAUAGUCACAUUCGAACCAGACUGUAGUCACGUUGAUGUUGCUGCUUCAGAUCUGGAGAGAAAAAAAAAGAAAAAAAUCGAAAAUAACGAAAGGAAGGUGGUGUGAUGUGUAUGAGGCGACAACAUGAGUUUUUUGGGAGGUUUGACACCGUAGCAAGUCUUGACGGCAUUCGAACCAGACUGUAGCAAAAAAAAAAUCGAAUAGUCACAUUCGAACCAGACUGUAGUCACGUUGAUGUUGCUGCUUCAGAUCUGGAGAGAAAAAAAAAAGAAAAAAAUCGAAAAUAACGAAAGGAAGGUGGUGUGAUGUGUAUGAGGCGACAACAUGAGUUUUUUGGGAGGUUUGACACCGUAGCAAGUCUUGACGGCAUUCGAACCAGACUGUAGCAAAAAAAAAAUCGAAUAGUCACAUUCGAACCAGACUGUAGUCACGUUGAUGUUGCUGCUUCAGAUCUGGAGAGAAAAAAAAAAGAAAAAAAUCGAAAAUAACGAAAGGAAGGUGGUGUGAUGUGUAGGAGGCGACAACAUGAGUUUUUUGGGAGGUUUGACACCGUAGCAAGUCUUGACGGCACAACCCUAGACGGCGGCUGUGAUCUCGGUGGUUGGGUGAGUGGAUAAUGGCGGUGAUGUGAAAAGGAGGGAGGAGGGCGGCGACGCUGGUGUAAAUCUCAAAUGCAAGCGGCAGCGGCAGAUCUGCAAAGAAGAAUACGGA